rnacentral:rRNA from 1 species
AGUCGAACGGCAGCACGGGAGCAAUCCUGGUGGCGAGUGGCGAACGGGUGAGUAAUAUAUCGGAACGUGCCCAAUCGUGGGGGAUAACGCAGCGAAAGCUGUGCUAAUACCGCAUACGAUCUACGGAUGAAAGCGGGGGACUCAGCAAUGAGCCUCGCGCGAAUGGAGCGGCCGAUAUCAGAUUAGCUAGUUGGUGGGGUAAAGGCUCACCAAGGCGACGAUCUGUAGCUGGUCUGAGAGGACGACCAGCCACACUGGAACUGAGACACGGUCCAGACUCCUACGGGAGGCAGCAGUGGGGAAUUUUGGACAAUGGGCGCAAGCCUGAUCCAGCAAUGCCGCGUGCAGGAUGAAGGCCUUCGGGUUGUAAACUGCUUUUGUACGGAACGAAACGGUCCGCCUUAAUACGGUGGGCU